GACAGCAUGGAGGGUGGCGGUGCCGCUGGGGGAGGGUCGGUGUCCCCCAGGGUGUCUGCGCGUCCCCGUGCCUGUGCGCGGGCCUGUGCACAUCUGUGCAGCAUGCGCGAGUGCCUUGCAUUUACGCACACGUCUUUGUGCCCCGGCGCCCCCUGUGCACACGUGUGUGAGUCGUACACACAAUGCCCGGCCUCCCCCUGGCCAAGCCGUGCACCCCCUCACUCUGGCUCCCCUCGCUUGUUUCUAGUCAGGUUUAGGCGGCCUGAGCUGUGGCUGGGAGGCCCGGCCAGGGCUUGGGUGGGUUCUGCUCCUCUGUGCCGAUUUCUGGCUCCCUGGGGAAGCCUCUUGCAGACGGAGACGCCACAUCCUGGCCCUCUCUGCCUUGAGCGCGGCGCACAGGGCGCUGUGGGGCCCCUGCCGGCUCAGGGGUUCUGCAGAGGCCGGCUGGUGGGGGCCCCUUCCCAGGCCAAGCCCGAGGUGAGGGGUCACCGCCCGGUCCUGAGGUUCUGCCCACGCCUGCCUCAGCCUCCCCCUGGGGUUUCAGUCAGCACCCUCCCCCGAGGGCGGAAGGCACGGGGCUCCCAGCUCCGUGUUCACACGGACAGCGGGAGCACUCACGGUGGGGAGCAGGCGGAUGUGGGCUGUAGGUGACCAGGCCCUGCGGAAAGACGCCUCCGGGGGAGGGAGGGCAGGGCCACCCCAGAAGGGCUCCAGUCCUGCUCUGGGGGCCGGGCCCACCAUGCCGACCACCUGGUCCCUGAAAACUGCAGGCUCAGCGGCAAAGGCCCCAGCGGGCAGCGGGUCUAGGCCCAGCAGGCCCAGGUGGUGACGGCAGGGGCUGCUGUCCCUCGGCCAAAGAAGACACUUGCCCUGCCCCACGCUGCUGGCAGGCAGGGCUGGGGCCACGCUGGCCAGCGUGGGCCGGCGGAGGCCACCCCACCUGCACCGGCGGGCCUGGGGCUACUCCUGUCCGGCCACAGCGGCCACCCGCGCUCUGACCCUCCUCGCUGCCCUGGGCGCCGGGUCGCUGCAAGGCAUCGCCCAGCCUGAGGGGCCAGGCAGGAGCAGCAGGUGGCAGAGGGACCCACGCCACGCACCUGUGCCCCGACUCUGCUCAGGAAGGGGCCGCGCACGCCGGCUUCCUUUGGCGUCAGUUCUUUGGAAUUUUUUUUUUUUUUUUUUUUUUUUUGGUAUCGGGGAUUGAAUUCGGGACCUUGCGCUUGCGAGGCAGGCAGCAGAACCACUGAGCUAAAUCCCCGGCCCAGUUUGAGGCCGCGCUGUCGGAGGCGCAGCGCUAAGAGCGCGGUGCGCACUUCCUGUGGGCGGAUCCCGGGCGUGCGCUCUGCCGGGGCUCCGGGGCUUCCUCGGAGUCGGCCUCCAUCCAGCGCGACCGCCGGCACUUUGUGCCUUCUGUCCUCCGUGUUCUCUUGGAAAAGCGCAGACAACGGGCUUCUUUCUGCCUCUCCGCAGACCCGGGCCUGAUGUCCGCCGGCGACGGGCUCGCUCCGUGUGGUGCUGGGGGUUGGACGGGGCUUUGGACUGAGCCACCGCAGGCCCUCUCCUAAAAUUAUUUUCUAUUUUGAAGCAGGGUCUGGCUAAGUGACUACAUCACCAGCCUGGGCUCAACUUGCAAUCUCCCUGCCUCAGCCCUCAGUGGCGGCCACACCGGCUUCCGGGGCGCCUCUAACCGUCGCCUGGGCAACGGGGUCCGCGCCGAGGUCAGCGAUCGGCCAAGUCAGACCUCGCCUGUAAGGGCACGAUCUGGAACAUUCCGAGGCCACUCGGCAGGCGGGGCGCGAGGCGGGAGGCUGGGCUUGCGGCUCCUCGGCCUCGGGGUCACCGACCUCCGGGAGGCCUCUUCCCAGCACGAGGCUGCCGAGCGGCAGCGGGCUCCGACCCAGACCGGCCCGCCCGCGAGAGGGGCGGCCCCCUAGGGGCGGGGCUUCCAGCCCAGACGCGGGCGCUGACUCGGUGAUUGAAUCUGGGUCCCGCGCGCGGUGGGCGGAGCCUGGGGAGGCCGUGGUCCGGGAGGACCCUCCCCUCCGGCCUUGGAGGAAAGAGGAGGAGGCCGGAGCGGCCGUCCCGACUCUGACCCGAUGGCAGCUCUCGCGGGGCUGUGAGGUCCUUGCAGGGUCAUGAGCAUGAAGGGGCAGCGAAGGGGAGGUCCGAAUGGGCCUCCGGGGCUUCAGGGAGGAGGCCUCGCGGCCACCGGGCAGGAACAGCUGCCCUGGGAGCAGAGACCUGAGCGACCACGUGACCACGCAUCUUCCGCCGGGAAAAGCAUAGCGGGGCAGAAGAGGCUAACGUGGCCUCUGGUCAGCCUCGGAAGGGGGCGUCCGAGUCCUUCACUGACCAUGGACCCAAACCUCUACAAACAUGCCUGAGAUCCCAGCACUCGGGAGGCUGAGGCAGGAGGAUCGCAGUGAGUUCGAGGCCAGCCGAGGCCACAUACAGACAUUCCUCAACUAGCAACUGAGUUCUGUUCCUUAAACAAAUCGGUCGCUAAAUGAGGAGCAGCAUGUACGUUACAAUAUUCAGAAUAAAGGAACGGCCAAAGGAAACUCCAACUCGAUGACGAUGACUUUGCUUAUGUUUGCAUAACUCUUAAUGGGUAGUACUGAAUGUAGAACACAGAACCACAGUACUGUACAGCACAAGUAGCACAAAUGACAGCACCGUAUGAACAAGGUGAGCUGUACAGAAAAAGACAUUGAGGAUCUGUGAACAAGACGUACAGAACGUACAAAAAAAGAUGGGUCGCAGGUCUGACCAGCUGUUAAACAGGGAUUGAACUCAGGACCUUGUGAUUGCGAGGCAGACCAUGGAACCACUGAGCUACAUCCCUGGUCCCCCAGAUGCUUUUUUAAAACAACCCUUAAAAAAACCCUUUUAAAAAAACUGGGAAUCCUGACACUGUCAGCUCCAGGCUGAGAGAUGAGAACCUGCCAAUCAGGAGUCAGGCUGGCUCAGGCAGAACUGACAGAGGGAGAGGGAAACAGGGAUUGAGCUCCUGGAUCCACCCAUGCCUGAAAUCCAUCAGCCUAUUGCUUCCAGGAUGGCAGCCCAGUAAAUGCUUCCCCUUUUCUGUGUGCAAUCCACCAGCUGGGUUGGGUGAGGCAGCGAGUCAUUGAGCAGUGUGCAUUGACCCUUGCCCUGGACAGUGGCCUCGGGGACACUGCUCCGCUGCCCAGGUUGUGGCUGAGCUGCAGGUGGCUCCGGGGCAGGCCCUAAUCCUCGACCACAGGGACAAUGGGAGCAGGCCACUCACUGCAUCAUGGCAUUGGACAUCUCGAAGUGGCCGUUACUUUCCGGAAAGCUCGAGAACAGUGGUGUAGGGGUGCAGCAAGGCCCAGUCCUGCUUCUUGAAGCUGCUGCCCGCCGGGCCUCGGACGAACCAGACUCCCUGGAACUGCAGGCAGUGACAGGACAUGCAUCCCACGCGCCCAGCUUCCUGAGCCUCAGUCUCCAGCACCAGAGGUGGGGCCCAGAGGACCCAGCAGGGCCUUCCCGUGGGGCCAGCGUGGCCUGGGCCAUGCCUCCUCCCUUGCUGCCCGCCAAGCCCCGGCCCCUACCUGGUGACUGGAAGCCGCUCAGCUGCGGUUGGGCGGGCGGCAGAAGCGAGGUCUGGGCCCGCAGGACUCUGAGCAGGGAGAGCCCCAGGGCGCAUUGGGGGCCCAUGCCCGGCCGGGGCCAGGGUCGGCAGGUGGAACCACGGCUUGGCUGGUGCCCUGGGACAGCUCGCAGGCCUGUGCACCUGCCUGAGACUCCAGUGCCAGCCUAGAGGCCGGGCCUUGGCCUCCGUGUCCCCUUCCCCGGGAGGCUCCGAGCGCCCUCUGCCCUUCCUGGCGCGGAACCUCCUGUCCCAGGCAGGGAGCGUGACCGGCCCUGGGCCGAGGAGCCAUGGGGGCCGCUGCCCACGCCCCGAGACCGCGGAGAGGGCGGCAAGGAGGGCGGGGCCCAGCGCCAGGGCUCUGGAGCCGGACAGAGGGGACUCGGGGGGGCGCUGGACGGGACAGGGACUCAGUGACCCCAGCCCCGCCCGCGCCGUUCUCCCUUGGGCACUCGGGCACACUCGGGACUGCUCGGCAGCAGGGAGCCCGCCCCCGGGGACAGACGGCACCCACGCAGGCCUGCGCCCCUGGCACUGCGCCCCCUGCGGGCGGGCAGCUCCGGGGGCCGAGUGUGGGGGAGGGCAGGCGUGGGGACAGUGGGGCCGGGCCGGGGCCCCGGGGCCUCCAGGCCGCCGACUUCGCCUGAGCCUGGUCCCCUCCUGCCGCUCGCUUCCCGCCCCCGCCUUCAUUGAGGCGGGGACAGGGCGCCGCCUCCGCCCAGGUGCCUGGUGCUGUCCUCCACUGUGUCAGAUGCAGGACCCUAGUGCUGCCCGGGGCCCUGGGCUGGGGCCCCGUCCAGUCCCCAGCCUCUGAAGGUCUCAGCCAAGACCCUGGUUAAGUGGUCCUUCCCAUAGAUUUUUUUUUUUUGGUACCAGGGAUUGAACUCGGGUCCUUGUGCUUUCGAGGCAGGCAGUGAAACCACUGAGCUAAAUCCCCAGCCCAGAUUUUUAUUAUUUAUUUAUUUAUUCAUUUAUUUGAGACAAGGUCUCACUUUGUAGUUUAGGCUGGCCUCCAACUCACAGCAGCCUUCCUACCUUAGCUCCCGGAGUGCUGGGAUUACAGGCGUGCCACCACACCUGACUUUUCCAUAGAUUUUUAAAACUACUUUUCUUCUGAAAUGUUGCUCAUCACCUAUCGGAGUUAAAGACAAAAUACAAAUGGUAAGAAAUGCUUCUGAGCUGGCGCAGAGCUGCGCGGCUGUAACCCCAGCAACUCAGGCAGCUGGGGCAGGACCGGCAGGAGUCCAAGGCCAGCUGGGCAACGGAGCAAGACUCUCAAAAUUAAAUUUUUUAAAAAGAGCUGGGGUUCUAGCUUAGUGGUACAGCGUUUACCUGGCAUGCAUGCACCCUGGGUUCCCUCCCUAGUACUGAAAAAGAGGGAAGAUUUUUAAGUAGAAGAGGUUCACUUAGAGCUAUCAUUAUUUUACUUAAGUUUUGAAGAGAAUUAGGCAAGCUCCUGAUUUGAACUCGAGCUUGUUAAACACUUUUAGAGAAGUUAAACGUGGUCACUCAGUGGUAGAGCACAUGCUCUGGAUGCUAGAGGUCCUGGGUUCAAUCCCCAGCACAACAGAAAUAAACAAACUAAGACGUGU